rnacentral:other from 2 species
UAUCUUCUGUGAUGCUCGUUAUCAUAUUCGUGGUAACUUGAGCCGAUAAGAUAUUAUACAGGGAGUCUGAAAGCAGUGUUGUUGUGCCAUCCAUCCACGUGGACAGCCUGAUACGCCGCCUAAGAUGCCCACUUGAACCUCUGGUUCAAGUUCAAUGUAUGAGACGACGUCAUGGUUGAUAC